UCUCCACUCCUCCCUCCUCCCUCUCCCUCUCCCUCUCCCUCUCCACCCAAACUUGACGGCCUUCUCUCUCUCCAUCUCCUGCAGCCCUGCCCUCUCAUGAUGGCAACUCUCUCUAUUCACAAUCAGUCACUGCUGCCCCUCUCUCUCCACCCAAACUCUAUCUUCUACGCUUCUCUCUCUCUCCACCAAACUAUCUCUCGCUCUCUCAAUCUCUUACGCUGUUGCAAACCUCUCUCAGACGAUCGGGGCACCCAAACCAUCCCUCCCUUUACUCAAUCUCCCGCUUUUCCCUCUCUCAAUCUCUCUCGUUGCUGCCCCAUUGUUGUUGCUCCUUUGCUCGAUUGGCGCAAUCUUCGGGAUUUGAGGUGCAUCCAAGGUUCAGACAAUAUUUGCAGACCUCUACUUGUGUGGGAUAAGUUGAAAGGUUUUUAUAGAUCCCACCAUGUCAAUUAGUGUGUUAUCUUCUCCGUGCCCAAUUGUAGACAGCACGAAUGACACCAUUGAGACCAUGGAGCAGGUUCCUUAUCUUAGAGAAAUGCGAGAUGGGGAACAUAGCUCAUCAACCAAUGGCCUACAAAUAGAAGAACCAUAUAUAGGGAUGAAGUUUGGUCAGAGAAUGAGGCAUAUGAGUAUUAUAAGGAGUAUACAUUAGCCAAAGGUUUUCGUGUCCGUAAGGGGACUGCCACAAUAAAGAUGGCCAAAGGAUUGAUAGAGAGCUCAAUUGUUCUAAGGAAGGGUUUCGCCAAGAGAAGAUCAGGUAGGUGAAAGGUACGCCAUGAAUCAAGGUGUGGUUGUAUGGCUAAGAUGGGCCUAAGUAGAAACACAAAUAAUGAGUGGGUUGUGACUAGGAUUGUUAAGGAACACAAUCACGGUUUUUGACUCCAAGAAAAGCUCGUUUAAUUCGCUCACAUCGAACAAUAUCAAGCGCUGCAAAGUUGAUGAUAGGUUCAAUGAGCUCGGCAUUGGUGAAGGCCAGAAUAUUCAUGACAUUUUCAUAGAGCAAUCUGGAGGGAUUGAUAAUGUUUAUUGUACACAAAAAGACAUCCAAAAUGUAAUCGCUAACUCCAGAUGAAAACCAAGAGGAGAAGAUGGAAGUCUUGUUAUGUAAUGGCUUUACAAAAUGAAAGAAUUGAACCCAUCUUUUUUUUAUAGAGUUAAAUUAGAUGAAGCCAAUCACAUCCUGAGCAUCUUAUGGGUAGAUGCCUUUUCUAGAGUUUCAUACCGGUGCUUCUCUGAUGUGGUAACUUUUGAUACCGCAUACAAAACAAACAGCUGUGAUAUGCCAUUUGCACCGAUUCUUGGUAUAAAUCACCAUCACAGUACAACUUUCUUUGGAUUUGCACUCAUUUUUUAAUGAAAUGGUUGAAUCAUUUGUAUGGAUAUUUGAAAAUUUGUUAGAAGCUAUGGGGGGACGUCAGCCUGGAGUUAUUCUCACUGAUCAAGAUGCAGUGAGACUAGUUUUUGACCAAAGUAAGCAUCAUUAUUGUAAGUGGCAUAUACUAUCUAAGAUUAAAGAAAAAUAUGUCAUGUCUUGCGUAGGCGUCCAAAUUGUUCAAAAACUUUCAAGAGGUGUGUGGCAAGUGCAACAGUGGAAGAAUUUGAAUUGGGGUGGAAAGAUAUGAUUGAGAAUUAUGGGCUAGAAAGUAAUGAGUGGCUUAUUAGGCUCUAUGGUUGUCGCAUGCAAUGGGUCGAUGCAUACUUGAGUGACACGCUUACAGCGGGUAUGUCUUCCACUCAAAGGAGUGAAGGGAUGAAUAAGCACUUCAAGAUGUACGUAUCCUCUUAUGAUAUCUAUACUCAAAAGAUUAUGAAGUUAUUUGCGGAAGAGGUGGUGAAUUGUAUUAAUUUCAUGAGCGAGUCAAUUGAGGACAACGGAUUGCUUGCCACUUUUAAGGUAGCAAUACCAAGAAGCUAUUCCACACCCUACCUUGUGGAAUUUAAUUCCAAUGACAAUAACGUUUGUUGCAGUUGUCACUUAUAUGAGAGGAUGGGUCUUCUUUGUAGGCAUGUGUUGAAGGUUUUUAUGGUGAAGAAUGUAUUUGAAAUACCCCCACAAUAUAUAAUGAAGUGUUGGAAGAAGGAUAAAAAAAAUGGGGUUUUUAACGAUAAGAGUGGCAAUCAAAUUCAAGAAACAUCUCAACUACCACGCUCCAUUAGAUAUAACGAGGUCUAUCAGGCAACUCGAUACCUCACCGAGCGUGCUUCAGAGAGUGAAGAGCUCUACGAAUUUAUAUGGCUAUAAUACGAAACGGAAUUUGUCAAGUUGAUAUCCAAUUUGGGCAUAAGGGAGGUCCACAGAAUGGCGCCACAAUCAAUUGUAAUGCUGAAGAGAAUGGCAAUGUUGAAGCGAAUGCUAAUAUCGAUGAGAAUGCAACUAGUUGUAGUGCCACACCAAGUGAAAGUGACCAUUGCCAAAAUAUCCUUGAGCCUCCACGAGCACGGACAAACGGAAGAUCUACCAAUAAAAGAAAGAAAGCUCGAUCGGAAGGGUGGAAGCCGAAGGAAAAUACCAGGAAAUGCACAGUUUGCAAGGGCAGUGGGCACGACAAAAGAAAUUGUCCGUCAUUCAUUCAUGCAAAGGCUGCUGAAAAAAUGUGAACGGUCUGCUAGGAAUGCUGAAGUAAACCAUUGAUCUAUUGUGAAUUAGGUUGGGUGCAACAAAGUGAUCUAAAAUUGGUGGAAAGCAAUAAAGUGAUCUUCGUUGAUGCAUAUAACAAGAGCAGAUGGUUCUCAACCACCUCAGGGAGCACUAGGGAGAAAUAUGUUACUGCAAACUCAAGAUGUCUAUUUAGGCUUUUUCAAUUUGCUGUUGCGGACUCAAGAUGUCUAUUUUGGCUUUUUGAAUUUUCUGCUGCGGACUCAAGAUGUCUAGUUUGCUUUUUUGCAAUUUGCUGCUGUAGACUCAAGAUGUCUAUUUUGCCUUUCUCAAUUUGCUAUUGCGGACGCAAGAUGUCUAUUUUGCCUUUUUUUGUUGUAUUCACUUUAGAAAAGAACUUUAUAGAAUAUAUGUUCAUUGUGUUGGUACA